AACCAUAGAAACCUGCGGAGUACCUGCGGAGGGAUCAUUAAUGAAUAAACUUGGUCAGGCUGUUGCUGGUUCUUUCGGGGACAUGUGCACGCUUGCCACCAAUUUUAACCACCUGUGCACCUUUUGUAGACUGGAAACGUUUCUCGAGGCAACUCGGAUUGAGAACUGCUGCGCGCAAGCCAACUUUUCUUGUGUUUCUCAGUCUAUGUUUUCAUAUACUCCUAAUGUAUGUAAUCGAAU
rnacentral:misc_RNA from 1 species